AUACGUAGGGGGUAAGCGUUGUCCGGAAUUACUGGGCGUAAAGAGCUCGUAGGCGGCUCAGCAAGUCGGUCGUGAAAGCCCGAGGCUCAACCUCGGAACUGCGGUCGAUACUGCUGUGGCUAGAGUCCGGUAGAGGAGAGUGGAAUUCCCGGUGUAGCGGUGGAAUGCGCAGAUAUCGGGAGGAACACCAGUGGCGAAGGCGGCUCUCUGGGCCGGUACUGACGCUGAGGAGCGAAAGCGUGGGGAGCAAACAGGAUUAGAUACCCUAGUAGUCC
rnacentral:rRNA from 1 species